GGGAAUAUUGGACAAUGGGCGCAAGCCUGAUCCAGCGACGCCGCGUGAGUGAAGAAGGCCUUCGGGUUGUAAAGCUCUUUUAGUGGGGAAGAUAAUGACGGUACCCACAGAAAAAGCCCCGGCUAACUUCGUGCCAGCAGCCGCGGUAAUACGAAGGGGGCUAGCGUUACUCGGAAUUAUUGGGCGUAAAGCGUGCGUAGGCUGCUUAGUAAGUCAAAAGUGAAAGCCUUGGGCUCAACCUAAGAAUUGCUUUUGAAACUACCAAGCUUGAGUACUGUAGGGGAUAGCGGAAUUCCUAGUGUAGGGGUGAAAUUCGUAGAUAUUAGGAGGAACACCGGAGGCGAAAGCGGUUAUCUGGACAGUUACUGACGCUGUUGCACGAAAGCGUGGGGAGCAAACA
rnacentral:rRNA from 1 species